AGCUCUGUUGACUUGUCCAAGUCAAUAGAGUUCAAAUGAAUCCUAAAGUGCGCGCAGUCUCACCUCUCCGUUCCCUGUGGUUCACGGUGCUGGCGUCCGUCGUUAGCGCCGGUAGUGGCUUACACCUAAACACCACCACCAUUGGAUGCGUGAUAUCAAGUUGAGCAUGAAUAUGACAAUGAAAUUACGAAACAACUCUUGUACCGGUUGAAUCGAAUCGCUGAAUAGAAGAACCCUAACGGUUUACAAGUCAAAUUAAAUGGAGUUCGGUGGAGAUCAAUCCCUAAUACUAUGGGGGUUCCACUCCCUACCUUAGGUGCUACAUCUUGGUGAGCUCAGAACAAGAAAACGAUACUGAAUGAUAAAUGACAUACCAGAGAAGAUGAUCGAAGAAUCCACCGGGUCGAUCAGCUAUGGGCUUGCUUCAUUCCGUCACGAACCAAACGGAUAGAGUUACCGUUGUAGGCUUCAAGUUAACAUAAUAACCUUUCCAAAAUUUCCACAUAACAGUCUGUUUUGCAUAAUUUCCACACAAUAGUUUUUUGCAACAGUGCAGUUAAAAUGCCCAGCCGGCUUCGAAAUGCCGUGUUGCCAAGUUCCGAAAGAUAUUCCACUGCUACGAACUAACCAUUAGCCAAGGUCUUAAGUUAAGUUUUGGGUGCAGGUUGAUGGAUAUUUGAUGUUGAUGUGGUUUGUGGUGCUUUGCUAGGCCUACUAUGGUACUGGUUUGAGUUAAUCGGGUUGUGGUUCGAAGCAAUUCGGCUAAUGUUUCCUUUAGUCACAAAGUUACAAGGUGGUAUUCCCGAUUCGAUUAGGAAUGAGUUUUUCUUGCAGUAGUCUGAUUUGCAAGAAACAUAAUGACUACAAAGCCAAGCAGAACUAUUAGGCUGCGUAACACCCGUUCCAUUGAUGACAGUGCACCUUGAAAGGUAAGCAAAACAUGGCCUGUAUUGUAAAAUGUGUUUGCAUAUAUGGUCAUCAGCAUAUCAUUUACUAAAUGAAGGCCACUGAAGACACAUAAGAUGGCCAAAAAAGUGAUUAUGAUACAAUGCAUCCUUAGAAAUGUUUUACGGUCCCUGAUGUCGCUAUGCAAUGGAGGAAUGAAGGUAAAAGUUGUGAGGCACAAGAGUUGCUCCAAGAAGACCCAUAAGCAUAAAUGCAGUCCCCCCACUCAACUUUAUUAUUAUUCCUUUCACAGAAAGUGGAACUUCUGAUUGAUUGAUGAGUAGUCCAAGUAUAAAAGAUAAUAAUACAAAGCCUGCGACAAACUCUCCUUGGUAUUUUGUCUUCUCAAUGUCAAGGAGAAGUAUAUUAAAAAUAGCACCAGUGGUAGUUAAAAAGAUACAGGUGAACAAGUGCCACCCAAAAAUAAGAUUUAAUCCUUGUGCUAUGCCCAAGACCAUGUUAAGAUCUAGCACAAUCACUGAAAGUUCAGUUUGAAUUCCAAGGAAAAGGCAUGUCCAUGUAUCAUACCCGUCACUGCAAAUCUGAGCCAGAUCUCUUCCAGUGAUUACAACAACCCGGGAAGAUAAGUACUGACAGACGAUAGCUGCAAAAUUGAAAACAAGCGUGAAAGCCAUCAGAUCAGAACCGAGCCUUGCACCGCCUUCAAUACUUGCCUGCUGAAAUGGAUUCGAACUGUUAAGUUAUGUUGGUGCUGGAUUUGGAUGUUAGGAAUUUUGAUUAUAGUUGUAACAAUUUUUUCAUUCUGCUUGUGUUGACUUUGUAUUUGAUGGCUUGCAGAAUCAUAAAAUGAAGAACAUGUUUGAGAA